rnacentral:tRNA from 10 species
CGGGGCGUGGCGCAGCCUGGUAGCGCAUCUGCUUUGGGAGCAGAGGGUCGGAGGUUCGAAUCCUCUCGCCCCGACCA